CAGCACCUCAAGUGGUCAGGAUGAUUAUUGGGCCUAAAGCAUCCGUAGCCGGCGCUGUAAGUUUUCGGUUAAAUCUGUACGCUCAACGUACAGACUGCCGGGAAUACUGCAGCGCUAGGGAGUGGGAGAGGUAGACGGUACUCGGUAGGAAGGGGUAAAAUCCUUUGAUCUAUUGAUGACCACCUGUGGCGAAGGCGGUCUACCAGAACACGUCCGACGGUGAGGGAUGAAAGCUGGGGGAGCAAACCGGAUUAGAUACCCGAGUAGUCC
rnacentral:rRNA from 1 species